rnacentral:rRNA from 1 species
AUUGAACGCUGGCGGCAUGCCUUACACAUGCAAGUCGAACGGCAGCACGGGAGCUUGCUCCUGGUGGCGAGUGGCGAACGGGUGAGUAAUACAUCGGAACGUACCCUGAAGUGGGGGAUAACGUAGCGAAAGUUACGCUAAUACCGCAUAUCCUGUGAGGCAGGAAAGAGGGGGAUCGCAAGACCUCUUGCUUUAGGAGCGGCCGAUGUCGGAUUAGCUAGUUGGUGAGGUAAAGGCUCACCAAGGCGACGAUCCGUAGCGGGUCUGAGAGGAUGAUCCGCCACACUGGGACUGAGACACGGCCCAGGACUCCUACGGGAGGCAGGCAGUGGGGAAUUUUGGGACAAUGGGCGCAAGCCUGAUCCAGCCAUGCCGCGUGAGUGAAGAAGGCC